CCUACGGGGGGGCAGCAGUGGGGAAUAUUGGACAAUGGGCGAAAGCCUGAUCCAGCCAUGCCGCGUGUGUGAAGAAGGCCUUCGGGUUGUAAAGCACUUUCAGUGGGGAAGAAAGCCUUGGGGCUAAUACCCUCGAGGAAGGACAUCACCCACAGAAGAAGCACCGGCUAACUCCGUGCCAGCAGCCGCGGUAAUACGGAGGGUGCGAGCGUUAAUCGGAAUUACUGGGCGUAAAGCGCGCGUAGGCGGUCUGAUAAGCCGGUUGUGAAAGCCCCGGGCUCAACCUGGGAACGGCAUCCGGAACUGUCAGGCUAGAGUGCAGGAGAGGAAGGUAGAAUUCCCGGUGUAGCGGUGAAAUGCGUAGAGAUCGGGAGGAAUACCAGUGGCGAAGGCGACCUUCUGGACUGACACUGACGCUGAGGUGCGAAAGCGUGGGUAGCAAACAGGAUUAGAUACCCUAGUAGUC
rnacentral:rRNA from 1 species